rnacentral:lncRNA from 1 species
UGAAAUGUAUUUUGAUUUUAGCUUUCAACAUCAUAUUUCUUCAUUAUGUCUAUGCUUUAUUUUAUUUUCUAGGAUUGGAUUAUGUAUUGGGUAUUCUACUAGCCUACUUGCCCAAUUGGUUUAUUAAAUGAUUCAUAAAUUGUAUUCACUGCUAAAUCUUUAGACAAUUAUUAUGGUUUAUUAAACCCAAAUGUGUCAAGUAACACUAGAGAAUGGUCAUUUAAAUCCCUU